rnacentral:rRNA from 1 species
GACGAACGCUGGCGGCGUGCUUAACACAUGCAAGUCGAACGGAAAGGCCCUGCUUUUGUGGGGUGCUCGAGUGGCGAACGGGUGAGUAACACGUGAGUAACCUGCCCUUGACUUUGGGAUAACUUCAGGAAACUGGGGCUAAUACCGGAUAGGAGCUCCUGCUGCAUGGUGGGGGUUGGAAAGUUUCGGCGGUUGGGGAUGGACUCGCGGCUUAUCAGCUUGUUGGUGGGGUAGUGGCUUACCAAGGCUUUGACGGGUAGCCGGCCUGAGAGGGUGACCGGCCUCAAUGGGACUAAGAUACGACGCAGAAUCAUACGUGAGGCAGUGGUCGGAAAUAUUGCACAGUAAGGGGAAGCCUGAUGCAGCAACGCCGCGUGCGGGAUGAUGGCCUUCGGGUUGUGAACCGCUUUCGCCUGUGACGAGGCGUGAGUGACGGUAAUGGGUAAAAAAGCACCGGCUAACUACGUG